CGGGGCGUAGCGCAGCUGGCUAGCGCGUCUGGUUUGGGACCAGAAGGUCGACAGUUCAAAUCUGUCCGCCCCGACCA
rnacentral:tRNA from 1 species